rnacentral:rRNA from 1 species
UACAGAGGUCUCAAGCGUUGUUCGGAUUCAUUGGGCGUAAAGGGUGCGUAGGCGGCGCGGUAAGUCGGGUGUGAAAUCUCGGAGCUUAACUCCGAAACUGCAUUCGAUACUGCCGUGCUUGAGGACUGGAGAGGAGACUGGAAUUCACGGUGUAGCAGUGAAAUGCGUAGAUAUCGUGAGGAAGACCAGUGGCGAAGGUGGGUCUCUGGACAAGUUCCUGGACGCUGAGGCGCGAAGGCCAGGGGAGCAAACGGG